rnacentral:rRNA from 1 species
UACGUAGGGAGCAAGCGUUGUCCGGAAUCAUUGGGCGUAAAGAGCGUGUAGGCGGCCAGGUAGGUCUGCUGUGAAAACUCGAGGCUCAACCUCGAGACGUCGGCGGAAACCAUCUGGCUAGAGUCCGGAAGAGGAGAGUGGAAUUCCUGGUGUAGCGGUGAAAUGCGCAGAUAUCAGGAAGAACACCCGUGGCGAAGGCGGCUCCUCUGGGACGGUACUGACGCUGAGACGCGAAAGCGUGGGGAGCGAACAGG